UCCAGACUCCUACGGGAGGCAGCAGUGGGGAAUAUUGGACAAUGGGGGGAACCCUGAUCCAGCGACGCCGCGUGAGUGAAGAAGUAUUUCGGUAUGUAAAGCUCUAUCAGCAGGGAAGAAAGAAAUGACGGUACCUGAGUAAGAAGCACCGGCUAAAUACGUGCCAGCAGCCGCGGUAAUACGUAUGGUGCAAGCGUUAUCCGGAUUUACUGGGUGUAAAGGGAGCGCAGGUGGCACGGCAAGCCUGAUGUGAAAGCCCGCGGCCCAACCGCGGGACUGCAUUGGGAACUACCGGGCUGGAGUGCCGGAGAGGUAGGCGGAAUUCCUAGUGUAGCGGUGAAAUGCGUAGAUAUUAGGAGGAACACCAGUGGCGAAGGCGGCCUACUGGACGGUGACUGACGCUGAGGCUCGAAAGCGUGGGGAGCAAACAGGAUUAGAUACCCGCGUA
rnacentral:rRNA from 1 species